rnacentral:lncRNA from 1 species
AAACAUAUAGAGCUGUAAAGAGUAAGUAAAGCUGCCAACUAUGUGGUCCCAAACUGCCGUUAAAUAAAGGUCUCCGCCCUUAUCGUUUUUCAUUUUCAAAGACAUGGCUAUUUUUAAAGCCAUUAGUGACCACAACUCAUAAGCGCAUGCUGAAGGAAGUCUCGUGCUCGUCGUGUCAGUCCGCCGCCGCGGAUGAACUCUGUCACGCGAGCACUCUUUACUCCUGGACACGCUUCGCGCGCGCAAGUCCACCUGUUGCGUUCGGAUUUGGAACACCGGCAGCAGAAACCAACUGAACUACGUUGACAUUGCGAGCCAUGUGUGUAAUCUUGAAUGAUGGAGCACGAAUAUGAAUGAAUUGGUUAGCACUCAUGGGUACCUCAAAAUCAAAUUAUGGUUUAGAAAUAUCCAACAUUGUCUAAGGAUGCGACUGGGACUAGACACACCAAUAGAGUACUGUAUCUAGCAACGUCACCCGAUGGUCAGGUAAUAGUGAUGGGCACAUGGAUGAAACAUUAGGAUUUGGAAUGUUUUCCCAUCUGUGAAAUGUCUUGUAUGUAUUAUUUUCAUUAUAAAGGUGGAAAAUUUCCUAUUCAAUG